UCAUAAAUCACACUUGAAAUGAUAGCUAAAGGGAGACAGCAGACGAAAUCACCUCGCCUCAAGUACUAAACAGCCUCCUCAAUUACAAUUCUUCAAAGUGAUAAUUAUUUUUAUGCUUUUUUCCAAUUGCAUUUAAAGUAAAAUGUAAUUAUUCAAUUCCUUUUGUUUCAAAGUGAAAGUCUUUCAAGAUAUUUACACCUGAAUGAAGAAAAUGUCGUAAUAAUUGAAAUUGUAUUUUUAAAACGCCCUCAGGCAGACGGACAUGAAACCUGGCAUUAGUCAUAAAUGGCAGGUCAAGAAAAGAAAGGCUAAGGGCAGAAAUGAUCACAAACAAUGAGCCAAAAUCUUUUAUUUUACUAAUUGGUUCUGUUUACUUUACACAUAUUUCUUGUUGCUUUUGUUUGUUUUUUUUUGUUUUUUUUGCCAAAGAUUGCCAGAGGCACACAGAUUCCAUGAUGCAGAAGCAUUUUCACUCGGCUGCACAACAGACGACGGUCCGACAUCCCCCCUGCUGAACAAAUGACUCAUUGAUUCCUGAGACCCUUGUACGAUGAGACGAACAUGAAUAGCGAUGACGAUCAAAGCAGACGAAAAAACAAGGUCGUUGCGGAUCUGCUGUUUCAGCACCAUGCUGUGUUUCUUGCCAGCCUCCAGCUCACAGAUCUUCUCUCCCCUAAUAAGUCUCUCCCGUUUUUUUUUUUUCAAAAGAAAAAGAAAAAUAGAGAAAAAGGAAUAUUUAUUUUUCUUUCAUGAAAAGGUAGCGAGAGACACAGGCACCGAGUGGGAUAUUUAUAUAUAUACAUCAGGUGUGUCAGUGUGUGUAUGUGUAUACGUAUGGCCGUAAAUGAGGGGCCCAGAUGGAAGCGGCACACAACAGCAGCCGCAUCGUUGGCAGGAAACAUGUAAUAUUCAUAUAGAUAUAUACACAUACACGGAUGGUCGAUAAAUUCCCGAGCCAACGUGUGACGCAAGUUGGACAACACCUUGGCCGUUAACCAUGGCUCAAAAACAAACACAACAGCCUUGCCAGUUUUUUUUUUCUUCCUUUUUACCUAGUUCAAAUGAUUACAAAAAAAAAAAACUAAUAAAUACAACAAAUGACUUGAUUUGA